AUACCUACCUGGCGUCGGGAUACCGUGAUCAUGCAUGUGGUUCCAUCGGGGUGCGGCUGCUCCAUUGCACUGCGGAGUGGUUGACCCUUGCGAUUAUUUUAUAAGUUUCACUUCUACCGUGUGUGACUUGCACACACACACA
rnacentral:snRNA from 9 species